rnacentral:tRNA from 1 species
GAUAAGGUGGCUGAAUGGUUAAGGCAAUAGACAGCAAAUAUGUUUUUUAUGAGUUCGAAUCUCAUUCUUGUCU